UGAGUUGGCCGGGUGGUCGCGGCUUGCUCGGUUCGCCGAGUGGGUUGAGGAAGGUCGGGGCUCCACAGGGCAGGAUGCUGGCUAACGGCCAGCCGGGGUGACCCGCGGGAAAGUGCCACAGAGAACAGACCGCCGAUGGCCGCCUCCGGGUGGCACAGGUGAGGGUGAAACGGUGCGGUAAGAGCGCACCAGCGACCCGGGCGACCGGGCUGGCUCGGCAAACCCCAUCCGGAGCAAGGUUAAGCAGGGAGAGGGCGGCCCGCCCGCUGACACUCCCAGGUGAACCGCACAGAUGGAUGGCCACACAGCCGGACCUCCGCAAGGAACCGGUGGACAGAACCCCGCCUACAGGC
rnacentral:RNase_P_RNA from 1 species